GCUACGUUAUAUUCGCUGGAAGAUUAAUUGUAAAUUUCUCUUAUUGAUGGUAUUAAGGUAGAAUCGAAGACCGACAAGGUAGUUGCGACGAUAACGUAUCGAGUCAUCCCUUUGAUCGUAGGGUAUCCUUACGGGAGAUUAACAGGAGCAUAUUGUAAUCGCGAGUCGAUAAAAUGAAUUAUUAAUGAGAUAAUCUAGACGCGUAUUGAUGUUAAUCAUCAAUGACGACAAUUAAUCCCUAGAUAUUUAGUAACAAUGGACGACGUGUGUUGUAUAGAUCGUAGAACUGUAUCAAAUAUUACUGGCGUAGAUCUAACGUAAUGGACGAAGAGCCGACGAUAAGCAAGAAGAGAAAUACGAAAAGAGACGUGAACGGAGAUAUUCGUUGUAUUCCAAAAUAUUUUCGAUCGUUCGGACUUUUUCAAUCAAACCGAGAUGGAUAGAACACCGAUGGGAUUCGACAACCGUACAUUAUCAACCGUAUCGAUUAUCCAGCAUCACGAACGACAUCAACAGGAAAUAAUACGGCAACUAGAUAGAAAGCAACGUCAUCGAUGGGAAUGAUUUUCCAUUUUCCUGUUCGGUGAUAACUACCAGUUUCGAGAUAAUGACGUACGACGUACGUAUGUGCCUAGAUUACCGAGUGGCGCAUCGGUAAAAUAGUUAAAUAAUAAUGGUAUUCUGUAUCGAGAAUAUAGCAUCGAUCGAACGCACUGCGACGUAUUAAGUAUUAUAACGUAUUGAUCUAACUAACCGGUCUAACUAUCAGCUAUCACCGAUAACUAAAGUUUCUAAGUAUAUCAUCGUCGUUUAGCACAUACGACGGACUUUAUCAGUUCCCUAGAAUACCAUUUGGACUUUGUAAUGCGCCUGUCGUGUUUCAACGACUAAGUUAAUGUAGUUUUAGGCAAUCUGCGGUAGACUAUAUCGCAGUAUAUACGAACGGUAUCAUUGUCCCAUUACAAAACUAACUAAAGAAGGAAUAGAUAACCUCUCAUACCGCGUCCCCAUUGUUACACCAUACUCCACAUUGAAUUUCUGAUGAAUUCAUAUACCAAUCGUAAUGCCCUUUAAAUUGUAAACUAGUUGCUAUUUACAAUUCGAUUUCUAAAAUAAUAGAACCUUUUUAAUUGUCCAUUUACGAUUGGGAUAUCUCCAUCUCUGCGUUCUUACAUUUAGAAUUUUUCCAAUUUAUCGGCUAAUUUCGUUAAAGUAUUCCCUCUAUCUCUAAACGUUUAGACAGAUCGUAUUGUUAGAUCAACUUUCUUAAGAAAAUUGAAGUAGCGUUUGCUCGUUACAGGUAAUAUUUACAAAUUACUUUAAUCAAUCAUGGAACAGUUGCUAUAAUAAUGCACUCUCAGUCAAUUAUAGAUUUAUUUAAAAUUACUUUUUUUCAUAGAUAUACACGUAAAAAUUUUGUCUAUUUAUCUGAUGGAGUUACAUAAUAAUAAGAUUGAAGCAUUCAUUUGUAUAUUUCGAUAACUUCCUAACGAAAUUAAUGAGGGAUCAAAUUUGUAUUACCCUUUUGAUAUUUUGUAAUAUACAUAAAUUCCCUUAAUCCGUAUCGAACAGCGAUAUGCAUUCGUAUAUAUUUCGAUAACUUAUUUCGUGACGUAAA